rnacentral:rRNA from 1 species
UAGGGAAGUACUUCCACAAUGGGCGGAAAGCCUGAUGGAGCAACGCCGCGUGUGUGAUGAAGGGUUUCGGCUCGUAAAACACUGUUGUAAGAGAAGAAUGACAUUGAGAGUAACUGUUCAAUGUGUGACGGUAUCUUACCAGAAAGGAACGGCUAAAUACGUGCCAG